rnacentral:rRNA from 1 species
GACAGAGGAUGCAAACGUUGCUCGGAUUUACUGGGCGUAAAGCGCGCGUAGGCGGAUCUGCAAGUCGGGGGUGAAAUCCCGAGGCUCAACCCAGGAACUGCCCCUCCAAACUGCUUGGCUUGAGUCCGGGAGAGGUGAGUGGAAUUCCCAGUGUAGCGGUGAAAUGCGUAGAUAUUAGGGGAGGAACACCCAGUGGGCGAAGGCGGCUCACUGGACCGGAAC